rnacentral:rRNA from 1 species
UGGGGAAUAUUGCGCAAUGGGCGAAAGCCUGACGCAGCAACGCCGUGUGAGCGAUGAAGGCUUUAGAGUCGUAAAGCUCUGUCAAAUGGGAAGAAUUAUGACGGUACCAUUAGAGGAAGCCCCGGCUAACUCCGUGCCAGCAGCCGCGGUAAUACGGAGGGGGCAAGCGUUGUUCGGAAUUAUUGGGCGUAAAGCGUGUGUAGGCGGUUAAGUAAGUCAGGCGUGCAAGCCCGUGGCUCAACCACGGAAUUGCGUUUGAAACUGCUUAACUUGAGUACAGGAGAGGAAAGCGGAAUUCCCAGUGUAGCGGUGAAAUGCAUUGAUAUUGGGAAGAACAUCUGUGGCGAAGGCGGCUUUCUGGUCUGUUACUGACGCUGAGAUACGAAAGCCAGGGUAGCGAACGGG